AAUCAACGCAACAGUGACAAAAGCUGCAGAAGAUGUGGUUAUGAAAGGGAGACCCUGCCACACGUCAUCAACCACUGCAUGAGAUACUCUGAUCUGAUGACCAGAAGACAUGACGCAGUGGUAAGCAGGGUCAGGAAAGCAGCUGAGGGUAAGUUCACGAUUAUCACUGAAAAUGAGGCAGUACAGGGACAUCUGAGGCCAGUUUUGAUCAUUGCGAAGGACAAUAAGGCAAUGAUCAUUGACAUCACAAUCCCGUUCGAGAACAGGAUGGAAGCCAUCAAGGAGGCUAGGACCAGGAAAAUAGAGAAAUAUCAGGAUCUAGCGAGGGCCCUGAGUGGGCGAGUUGAAGAUGUUAAAGUUGAUGCAAUCGUUCUUGGUUCGUUGGGAUCCUGGGACCCCGAGAACGAUAAGGUUAUGAAGACGAUGUCCUCGCGUGCUGGGUAGCUUAAGAUAGCUUUAAUCCGCCGCGGAUCAGGAGCUACUUCGCCGUUACUAAUUACGUGGCCAAGAAAAGAAAUCUCCAUUCUACAGAAAUUGCACUUUCCUGCGUUUAUAGCAAAUCCAGCUGCGGUUAAUCUACCAAUCACAGUAUCGAGGUGCUCGAGAUGCGAUUCGAAGAUGUCAGAUGGAUCAUUUUGCAACUUCACCAGAAUGACGACAACUGAUUUCGAGGUACUGUUGCAAAUGGUUGGGAGUUCAAUUGCGAAGACUAACACAAAAUUUCGAGAUUCAGUGAAACCAGAGACAAGAUUAAUCAUAACCUUGAGAUUUUUGGCUUCUGGGGAUCCCUAUACAUCUCUGAUGUAUACAUUUAAAGUCUCGAAGCAACUCAUCAGUGAAAUAGUGCCAGAAGUGUGCCGAUGUUUGAAUGAAGCACUCUCUGAUUAUAUAAAGUUACCUGAAACAGAGGAAGGUUGGCGAGAGUUAGCACACGACCAGGUGCGUAGGUGCGAUAGAUGGGAAACAUAUUAAUUCAAGCGCCACACAACAGUGGAAGCAUGUACUACAAUUAUAAAGGUCUAUUUAGUAUUGUUUUGAUGGCUAUUUUGGACGCUGACUACAGAGUACUUUACGCAAAUUGUGGUGAUAAAGGAAGAGUUUCCGAUGGUGGUGUUUUUCAAAAUACAACAUUUUGCCACAAGUUACAAAAUGGACAGCUUUCUAUACCAGGGCCAGAGCCAAUAAUAAAUGAACAAUAUGUAUUACCAUAUGUGCUUGUGGCGUUUCCAUUAACUGAAAAUAUAAUGAAGCCAUUUGCCGGAACACAUGAACAAGGCAGUAUUACAAGAGUUUACAAUUAUAGGUUAUCAAGAGCACGAAGAUUGGUUGAAAAUGUUUUUGGAAUUAUUUGCUCAGUAUUUCGUAUUUUUCAAAAACCUAUACUGUUUCAUCCCGACAAGGCUUGUAAUGACUUGUUUAUAUGUGCAUAAUUUCCUUAGACGUGAGAAAGAAUCAAGAGUCAAAAUAUGGAUACUGAAGAUGUGAAUUCUAACUCCGCUACUCAAGGUUCCUGGUGGCGCGAAAUACAAAAUUUUCGGGGAAUCCGGGACCUGGAUAGGGUAGCGAGAAGAUCUACUGUAGCCGCUGCAGAAGCUAGAAAGUAGUUUGCUGAUUAUUUUUUGAGUCCCUUAGGUAGUGUACCUUGGCAUACUUUUGUAUGAUGUAUGAUAUAAUGUAAUGUGUAUGAUUAUAUAUUAUGAUGUAAGUACACUGGUGUAAGCAAACUACGGAAUUUCACAAUAACACAGUGCAGAUAUCUAAUUUAAAAUUUGCAAUAAAAUAAUUAAAUUGUA